CUUAUCACGAGUGGUGGAGGGAUGGGCCCGAUGAAACCCGGCAACCGGCGCGGCGCGCUUGGUGCCAAAUCCCACAGCGCGGCACACACCCCGCAAGGUCGGCGCUGACAGAUAAG
rnacentral:ncRNA from 2 species